UACGUAGGGGGCAAGCGUUGUCCGGAUUUAUUGGGCGUAAAGAGCGUGUAGGCGGUUUGGUAGGUCCGCUGUGAAAACUCGAGGCUCAACCUCGAGACGCCGGUGGAAACCAUCAGACUAGAGUCCGGAAGAGGAGAGUGGAAUUCCUGGUGUAGCGGUGAAAUGCGUAGAUAUCAGGAGGAAUACCGGUGGUGCAGACGGCUCUCUGGACCGCAACUGACGCUGAGACACGAAAGCGUGGGUAGCAAACAGG
rnacentral:rRNA from 1 species